CACUAAGUUUCCACUUGUUAAAGGGAAUCUCUGAGAAAUAGUCGCAGAUUUUUGACACUAUCUGCGAUUGGAAAUUAGGGCUUGUAAUUAAACUGCGGAGACUCAGCACAGCACAGAAACUCUCCGAACGAUAGCGUACACUGAGACUAGACCUUGAUGAUUUUUUUUAGGUGUCAGCUCCUCUCGGACCAUUACCAGUCACUAGAGAGCUCAAGAAAUGUGGGACUACGGGGACGUUAAUGAUACCAGUAUAAGUCCCGCAUUGCUGCUGGGUGGAUGAGAACCAGCUGAGGAAGCUUUCUAAAGAGCUUCCUGGAAGGCUGUGAUUGGCCGUCUGUCUGGGCAGUGAUAGCAGCCCUGGAGCCGAGGAUGAUUGAUGAUGGCGAGGGCAAGGCCGAGCGCUAGCAGCAUAAAGCCCCAUAGAUGCCUCAAUAAAGAGCCUGGCUAGUGGAGAGCCUGGGCCCCGCUCAAUAGGGCCCCUCCGCCUCUAAGGACCCACGGCUAGAAGAGUGCAUGGAGAGAGGGAGAGGAAGAGAGGGAGAAGGAGAGGUGCUCUGUUGUUGGAUAAUCUGUUUAGCUAUCGAGCCAGCAGCCGUCUGAGGCUGGAUAAGUGCAGCGACGGAUGUGUGUGGGGUGAAAAUAGCAGGGGUUGGCUGGUGGAGUGCUGGAGGGGAGAUACAGGGAAAGAGAGAGAGGGAAAAACAGAGCGAGAGAUGGAUCAUCCAGUCUCAGCAUGCAUAAUGGAAAAAAGGGAAGCGGAUGAACCAAACUGGAAAUGAGAUCUGCAGGCUGCUUUUCACACACACAUACACGCACACUAUAAAUGAUCAAAAGCCAAAAAAAGUUGACCACAAGAAAGUGACUGGAGACUCAAACUGAGUGAUCUGACCCCAGUGCUGCCACUCUGGUGGCCAUUAUUCAGCCUACAGAUGCAUAACUGUGGUGACCUUUGCUUCAGCAAAUCAAUGAGACCCUGCUAGGUUGGAUUCCUUCGGUGCUGCGUCCACUGCUGUGGCCCCAUGCAGCCCUGUUGCAACCCCUAGUUCACAGCAACUCUGAAAAGCACAAUUAGGCAAUAAUCUGCUCCUACCAAGCCAGCUUUCAGCGACUCCAGCAUGGCUACACGAUGUCCUGCAGACCCUCCUGGCUGGAGUUGAGAGAAUGGACUGUUGGCCUGAUGACUGUUGGCC